rnacentral:rRNA from 1 species
GUACCUGACUAAGAAGCACCGGCUAAAUACGUGCCAGCAGCCGCGGUAAUACGUAUGGUGCAAGCGUUAUCCGGAUUUACUGGGUGUAAAGGGAGCGUAGACGGAGUGGCAAGUCUGAUGUGAAAACCCGGGGCUCAACCCCGGGACUGCAUUGGAAACUGUCAAUCUAGAGUACCGGAGAGGUAAGCGGAAUUCCUAGUGUAGCGGUGAAAUGCGUAGAUAUUAGGAGGAACACCAGUGGCGAAGGCGGCUUACUGGACGGUAACUGACGUUGAGGCUCGAAAGCGUGGGGAGCAAACAGGAUUAGAUACCCUGGUAGUCCACGCCGUAAACGAUGACUAUUAGGUGUCGGGCAGCAAAGCUGUUCGGUGCCGCAGCAAACGCAAUAAGUAGUCCACCUGGGGA